rnacentral:rRNA from 1 species
CAGUCGCCACGGUAAAACGGAGGAUCCAAGCGUUAUCCGGAAUCAUUGGGUUUAAAGGGUCCGUAGGCGGUCUUGUAAGUCAGUGGUGAAAGCCCAUCGCUCAACGGUGGAACGGCCAUUGAUACUGCAGGACUUGAAUUAUUGGGAAGUAACUAGAAUAUGUAGUGUAGCGGUGAAAUGCUUAGAGAUUACAUGGAAUACCAAUUGCGAAGGCAGGUUACUACCAAUUGAUUGACGCUGAUGGACGAAAGCGUGGGUAGCGAACAGGAUUAGAUACCCGGGUAGUCCCUGUCUUUUAUAA